AGUGAACGCUGGCGGUAGGCCUAACACAUGCAAGUCGAACGGCAGCACAGUAAGAGCUUGCUCUUACGGGUGGCGAGUGGCGGACGGGUGAGGAAUACAUCGGAAUCUACUUUUUCGUGGGGGAUAACGUAGGGAAACUUACGCUAAUACCGCAUACGACCUACGGGUGAAAGCAGGGGAUCUUCGGACCUUGCGCGAUUGAAUGAGCCGAUGUCGGAUUAGCUAGUUGGCGGGGUAAAGGCCCACCAAGGCGACGAUCCGUAGCUGGUCUGAGAGGAUGAUCGGCCACACGGGAACGGAGACACGGUCCAGACUCCUACGGGAGGCAGCAGUGGGGAAUAUUGGACAAUGGGCGCAAGCCUGGUCCAGCCAUACCGCGUGGGUGAAGAAGGCCUUCGGGUUGUAAAGCCCUUUUGUUGGGAAAGAAAAGCAGCAGGUUAAUACCCCGCUGUUCUGACGGUACCCAAAGAAUAAGCACCGGCUAACUUCGUG
rnacentral:rRNA from 1 species